UACGAAGGGGGCUAGCGUUGCUCGGAAUCACUGGGCGUAAAGCGCACGUAGGCGGAUUUUUAAGUCAGGGGUGAAAUCCUGGAGCUCAACUCCAGAACUGCCUUUGAUACUGGGAAUCUCGAGUCCGGAAGAGGUGAGUGGAACUGCGAGUGUAGAGGUGAAAUUCGUAGAUAUUCGCAAGAACACCAGUGGCGAAGGCGGCUCACUGGCCCAUUACUGACGCUGAGGCACGAAAGCGUGGGGAGCAAACAGG
rnacentral:rRNA from 1 species